AUUGAACGCUGGCGGCAGGCCUAAUACAUGCAAGUCGAACGAGUGGCGGACGGGUGAGUAAUGUCUGGGAAACUGCCCGAUGGAGGGGGAUAACUACUGGAAACGGUAGCUAAUACCGCAUACCAUCAGAUUUGCCCAGAUGGGCUUAGUGUGUUGGUGGGGUAACGGCUCACCAAGGCGACGAUCCCUAGCUGGUCUGAGAGGAUGACCAGCAAAACUGGAACUGGGACACGGUCCAGACUCCACGGGGAGGAAGCAGUGGGGAGUAUUGCACAAUGGGCGCAAGCCUGAUGCAGACAUGCGGCGUGUAUGAAGAAGGCCUUCGGGUUGAAAAGUACUUUCAGCGGGGAGGCGUUACCCACAGAAGAAGCGACGGCUAACUCCGUGCCAGCAGCCGCGGUAAUUC
rnacentral:rRNA from 1 species